GUGUUUGAUAAGGGUAGACCUAGGUAUUUAGUUGGGAAGUGCGUUCGUCUAGCAGGGAAAGCACAUAGCACCUCAUCAAGAUCAACACCCUGACAUCUUAUGGGGAUGACAGACGACUUCCCAAAAUUUGUUUUGAGACCUGUUACUUCACCAAACUUGGUGAGAAUAUCGGCGAUUGCAGUGACAUCCUUUUUAUUUGGCUUGACGAAGAUUGUCGUGUCAUCUGCAUACAUGGAUGUCCGCAUUACAG
rnacentral:lncRNA from 1 species